rnacentral:rRNA from 1 species
UGGGGAAUAUUGCACAAUGGGGGAAACCCUGAUGCAGCGACGCCGCGUGAGCGAAGAAGUAUUUCGGUAUGUAAAGCUCUAUCAGCAGGGAAGAAGAAUGACGGUACCUGACUAAGAAGCACCGGCUAAAUACGUGCCAGCAGCCGCGGUAAUACGUAUGGUGCAAGCGUUAUCCGGAUUUACUGGGUGUAAAGGGAGCGCAGGCGGUGCGGCAAGUCUGAUGUGAAAUCCAUGGGCUCAACCCAUGAACUGCUUUCAAAACUGUUUUUCUUGAGUAGUGCAGAGGUAGGCGGAAUUCCCGGUGUAGCGGUGGAAUGCGUAGAUAUCGGGAGGAACACCAGUGGCGAAGGCGGCCUACUGGGCACCAACUGACGCUGAGGCUCGAAAGUGUGGGUAGCAAACAGGAUUAGAUACCCUGGUAGUCCACACUGUAAACGAUGAUUACUAGGUGUUGGAGGAUUGACCCCUUCAGUGCCGCAGUUAACACAAUAAGUAAUCCACCUGGGGAGUACGACCGCAAGGUUGAAACUCAAAGGAAUUGACGGGGGCCCGCACAAGCAGUGGAGUAUGUGGUUUAACUCGACGCAACGCGAAGAACCUUACCAAGUCUUGACAUCCCUUGACGAUGCUGGAAACAGUAUUUCUCUUCGGAGCAAGGAGACAGGUGGUGCAUGGUUGUCGUCAGCUCGUGUCGUGAGAUGUUGGGUUAAGUCCCGCAACGAGCGCAACCCUUAUGGUCAGUUACUACGCAAGAGGACUCUGGCCAGACUGCCGUUGACAAAACGGAGGAAGGUGGGGAUGACGUCAAAUCAUCAUGCCCUUUAUGACUUGGGCUACACACGUACUACAAUGGCGUUAAACAAAGAGAAGCAAGACCGCGAGGUGGAGCAAAACUCAGAAACAACGUCCCAGUUCGGACUGCAGGCUGCAACUCGCCUGCACGAAGUCGGAAUUGCUAGUAAUCGCAGAUCAGCAUGCUGCGGUGAAUACGUUCCC